rnacentral:rRNA from 1 species
GACGGACGCUGGCGGCGUGCUUAACACAUGCAAGUCGAACGGUAAGGCCCUUCGGGGUACACGAGUGGCGAACGGGUGAGUAACACGUGGGUGAUCUGCCCUGCACUUCGGGAUAAGCCUGGGAAACUGGGUCUAAUACCGGAGAGGACCACUGCCUGCAUGGGUGGUGGUGGAAAGCUUUUGCGGUGUGGGACGGGCCCGCGGCCUAUCAGCUUGUUGGUGGGGUGAUGGCCUACCAAGGCGACGACGGGUAGCCGGCCUGAGAGGGUGACCGGCCACACUGGGACUGAGAUACGGCCCAGACUCCUACGGGAGGCAGCAGUGGGGAAUAUUGCACAAUGGGCGCAAGCCUGAUGCAGCGACGCCGCGUGAGGGAUGACGGCCUUCGGGUUGUAAACCUCUUUCAGCACCGACGAAGCGCAAGUGACGGUAGGUGCAGAAGAAGGACCGGCCAACUACGUGCCAGCCGCCGCCGUAA